rnacentral:tRNA from 1 species
CGGUGGUUCAGUGGUAGAAUGCUCGCCUGCCACGCGUUCGGCCCGGGUUCGAUUCCCGGCCG